UAUCUCUGUAGAGUCUGCAUAUCAAUAAGCGGAGGAAAAGAAACUAACUAGGAUUCCCUUAAGUAACGGCGAGUGAAGCGGGAAGAGUUCAAAUUUGAAAUCUUCAAGGUUUUACCUUGACGAAUUGUAGUUUAAAGAAGUGUUUUCUGUUGAAGUUUCGGUAAAAGUUCUUUGGAAUAGGACAUCAUAGAGGGUGAGAAUCCCGUAUUUGACCGUUACUUUCCAGCUGUGUGAUACACUUUCAAAGAGUCGGAUUGUUUGGGAAUGCAGUCCAAAAUGGGUGGUAAAUUUCAUCUAAAGCUAAAUACUGGCGAGAGACCGAUAGCGAGCAAGUACCGUGAGGGAAAGAUGAAAAGAACUUUGAAAAGAGAGUUAAACAGUACGUGAAAUUGUCAAAAGGGAAGCGUUUGACACCAGUGUUGUUUUCUCGAAAAUCAAUUAAAAAUGGCGGGAUUUUGUGUUGUAUUGACUUUAUCAGCUUUCUGCACUUUUUUCCUGUCUUUUUUAAUGCACUUUUCGUUUAACAAGUCAACAUCAAUUUCUUUUGUUGUAAAAGGGUCAUUGGAAGGUGGCUUUCUUUUCGGAGAAAGUGUUUAUAGCCUCGUGCCUCUGCAAUCGGAGAGAUUGAGGUCUGCAGCGUAGAUCCUUCGGGGUUAGAUACAUUUGUGCUAAGUUAUAGCCUUUCAUAGACAACUUGUUGACUAUGAUCAGUCAUGUAGCUUACUCGCUUAUGUCAUUUUACCUACGCUUAGGAUGUUGAUCUCUCACAGUCGAGC
rnacentral:rRNA from 1 species